rnacentral:rRNA from 1 species
AACGCGAAGAACCUUACCUACUCUUGACAUCCAGAGAAGCCAGCGGAGACGCAGGUGUGCCUUCGGGAGCUCUGAGACAGGUGCUGCAUGGCUGUCGUCAGCUCGUGUUGUGAAAUGUUGGGUUAAGUCCCGCAACGAGCGCAACCCUUAUCCUUGUUUGCCAGCGAGUAAUGUCGGGAACUCCAGGGAGACUGCCGGUGACAAACCGGAGGAAGGUGGGGACGACGUCAAGUCAUCAUGGCCCUUACGUGUAGGGCUACACACGUGCUACAAUGGCAUAUACAGAGGGAAGCAAUACAGCGAUGUGGAGCGGACCCCUUAAAGUAUGUCGUAGUCCGGAUUGGAGUCUGCAACUCGACUCCAUGAAGUCGGAAUCGCUAGUAAUCGGAUAUCAGCCAUGAUCCGGUGAAUACGUUCCCGGGUCUUGUACACACCG